rfam:Enterococcus rotai strain LMG 26678 genome.
UAUCAAACUUUAAUAAAGCGAAGUAGCAAGAAUGUCCCUAUUUCAGAGAGUCAACAUUUAGUGAGAGUUGGCAUAUACAUUUUUUGUGAAUUACACUUUUAGUUUCCUACCGUAAGUAGGCGUCUAUCUACGAUACAGAUUUGAGAGGUAUAUGAUACGUUCAUAUACAAUUUGGGUGGUAACACGGCGGAGUUCGUCCCAUAG